rnacentral:rRNA from 1 species
UACAGAGGUCUCAAGCGUUUGUUCGGAUUCAUUGGGCGUAAAGGGUGCGUAGGUGGCGGGGUAAGUCAGGUGUGAAAUCUCGGGGCUCAACCCCGAAACUGCACUUGAUACUGCCUUGCUCGAGUACUGGAGAGGAGAUUGGAAUUUACGGUGUAGCAGUGAAAUGCGUAGAUAUCGUAAGGAAGACCAGUGGCGAAGGCGAAUCUCUGGACAGUUACUGACACUGAGGCACGAAGGCCAGGGGAGCAAACGGG